GAUGAAGAACGUAGCGAAAUGCGAUAAGUAAUGUGAAUUGCAGAAUUCAGUGAAUCAUCGAAUCUUUGAACGCACAUUGCGCCCGCCAGUAUUCUGGCGGGGAUGCCUGUUCGAGCGUCAUUACAACCCUCAGGCCCCCGGGCCUGGCGUUGGGGAUCGGCGGAGCCCCCCGUGGGCACACGCCGUCCCCCAAAUGCAGUGGCGGUCCCGCCGCAGCUUCCAUCGCGUAGUAGCUAACACCUCGCGACUGGAGAGCGGCGCGGCCACGCCGUAAAACACCCAACUCUUCUGAAGUUGACCUCGAAUCAGGUAGGAAUACCCGCUGAACUUAAGCAUAUCAAUAAGCGGAGGA
rnacentral:misc_RNA from 1 species